rnacentral:rRNA from 1 species
UACAGAGGUCUCAAGCGUUGUUCGGAUUCAUUGGGCGUAAAGGGUGCGUAGGCGGCCAACUAAGUCAGACGUGAAAUCCCUCGGCUUAACCGGGGAACUGCGUCUGAUACUGGAUGGCUUGAGGUUGGGAGAGGGAUGCGGAAUUCCAGGUGUAGCGGUGAAAUGCGUAGAUAUCUGGAGGAACACCGGUGGCGAAGGCGGCAUCCUGGACCAAUUCUGACGCUGAGUGAGCGAAAGCCAGGGGAGCAAACAGG